GGGUUGUGAGGUUAAGCGACCAAGCGUACACGGUGGAUGCCCUGGCAGUCAGAGGCGAUGAAGGACGUGCUAAUCUGCGAAAAGCGCCGGUAAGGUGAUAUGAACCGUUAUAACCGGCGAUGUCCGAAUGGGGAAACCCAGUGUGACUCGUCACACUAUCAUUAACUGAAUCCAUAGGUUAAUGAGGCGAACCGGGGGAACUGAAACAUCUAAGUACCCCGAGGAAAAGAAAUCAACCGAGAUUCCCCCAGUAGCGGCGAGCGAACGGGGAGGAGCCCAGAGCCUGAAUCAGCAUGUGUGUUAGUGGAAGCGUCUGGAAAGGCGCGCGAUACAGGGUGACAGCCCCGUACACAAAAGCGCAUGUGCUGUGAGCUCGAUGAGUAGGGCGGGACACGUGGUAUCCUGUCUGAAUAUGGGGGGACCAUCCUCCAAGGCUAAAUACUCCUGACUGACCGAUAGUGAACCAGUACCGUGAGGGAAAGGCGAAAAGAACCCCGGCGAGGGGAGUGAAACAGAACCUGAAACCGUGUACGUACAAGCAGUGGGAGCAUGAGUUUACUCAUGUGACUGCGUACCUUUUGUAUAAUGGGUCAGCGACUUAUAUUCUGUAGCAAGGUUAACCGUAUAGGGGAGCCGGAGGGAAACCGAGUCUUAACCGGGCGUUAAGUUGCAGGGUAUAGACCCGAAACCCGGUGAUCUAGCCAUGGGCAGGUUGAAGGUUGGGUAACACUAACUGGAGGACCGAACCGACUAAUGUUGAAAAAUUAGCGGAUGACCUGUGGCUGGGGGUGAAAGGCCAAUCAAACCGGGAGAUAGCUGGUUCUCCCCGAAAGCUAUUUAGGUAGCGCCUCGUGAAUUCAUCUCCGGGGGUAGAGCACUGUUUCGGCCAGGGGGCCAUCCCGGCUUACCAACCCGAUGCAAACUGCGAAUACCGGAGAAUGUUAUCACGGGAGACACACGGCGGGUGCUAACGUCCGUCGUGAAGAGGGAAACAACCCAGACCGCCAGCUAAGGUCCCAAAGUCAUGGUUAAGUGGGAAACGAUGUGGGAAGGCCCAGACAGCCAGGAUGUUGGCUUAGAAGCAGCCAUCAUUUAAAGAAAGCGUAAUAGCUCACUGGUCGAGUCGGCCUGCGCGGAAGAUGUAACGGGGCUAAACCAUGCACCGAAGCUGCGGCAGCGACACUGUGUGUUGUUGGGUAGGGGAGCGUUCUGUAAGCCUGCGAAGGUGGCCUGUGAGGGUUGCUGGAGGUAUCAGAAGUGCGAAUGCUGACAUAAGUAACGAUAAUGCGGGUGAAAAACCCGCACGCCGGAAGACCAAGGGUUCCUGUCCAACGUUAAUCGGGGCAGGGUGAGUCGACUCCUAAGGCGAGGCCGAAAGGCGUAGUCGAUGGGAAACGGGUUAAUAUUCCCGUACCUGGUGUUACUGCGAAGGGGGGACGGAGAAGGCUAUGUUGGCCGGGCGACGGUUGUCCCGGUUUAAGCGUGUAGGCUGGUUUUCCAGGCAAAUCCGGAAAAUCAAGGCUGAGGCGUGAUGACGAGGCACUACGGUGCUGAAGCAACAAAUGCCCUGCUUCCAGGAAAAGCCUCUAAGCCUCAGGUAACAUCAGAUCGUACCCGAAACCGACACAGGUGGUCAGGUAGAGAAUACCAAGGCGCUUGAGAGAACCCGGGUGAAGGAACUAGGCAAAAUGGUGCCGUAACUUCGGGAGAAGGCACGCUGACACGUAGGUGAAGCGGUUUACCCGUGGAGCUGAAGUCAGUCGAAGAUACCAGCUGGCUGCAACUGUUUAUUAAAAACACAGCACUGUGCAAACACGAAAGUGGACGUAUACGGUGUGACGCCUGCCCGGUGCCGGAAGGUUAAUUGAUGGGGUCAGCGCAAGCGAAGCUCCUGAUCGAAGCCCCGGUAAACGGCGGCCGUAACUAUAACGGUCCUAAGGUAGCGAAAUUCCUUGUCGGGUAAGUUCCGACCUGCACGAAUGGCGUAAUGAUGGCCAGGCUGUCUCCACCCGGGACUCAGUGAAAUUGAACUCGCUGUGAAGAUGCAGUGUACCCGCGGCAAGACGGAAAGACCCCGUGAACCUUUACUAUAGCUUGACACUGAACACUGGUCCUUGAUGUGCAGGAUAGGUGGGAGGCUUUGAAGUGUGGACGCCAGUCUGCAUGGAGCCGUCCUUGAAAUACCACCCUUUAAUGGCUGGUGUUCUAACGUAGACCCGUGAACCGGGUUGCGGACAGUGUCUGGUGGGUAGUUUGACUGGGGCGGUCUCCUCCUAAAGCGUAACGGAGGAGCACGAAGGUUGGCUAAUCCUGGUCGGACAUCAGGAGGUUAGUGCAAUGGCAUAAGCCAGCUUGACUGCGAGCGUGACGGCGCGAGCAGGUGCGAAAGCAGGUCAUAGUGAUCCGGUGGUUCUGAAUGGAAGGGCCAUCGCUCAACGGAUAAAAGGUACUCCGGGGAUAACAGGCUGAUACCGCCCAAGAGUUCAUAUCGACGGCGGUGUUUGGCACCUCGAUGUCGGCUCAUCACAUCCUGGGGCUGAAGUAGGUCCCAAGGGUAUGGCUGUUCGCCAUUUAAAGUGGUACGCGAGCUGGGUUUAGAACGUCGUGAGACAGUUCGGUCCCUAUCUGCCGUGGGCGCUGGAGAACUGAGGGGGGCUGCUCCUAGUACGAGAGGACCGGAGUGGACGCAUCACUGGUGUUCGGGUUGUCAUGCCAAUGGCACUGCCCGGUAGCUAAAUGCGGAAGAGAUAAGUGCUGAAAGCAUCUAAGCACGAAACUUGCCCCGAGAUGAGUUCUCCCUGAGACUACAAGUCUCCUGAAGGAACGUUGAAGACGACGACGUUGAUAGGCCGGGUGUGUAAGCGCAGCGAUGCGUUGAGCUAACCGGUACUAAUGAACCGUGAGGCUUAACCUUACAACGCCGAAG
rnacentral:rRNA from 1 species